rnacentral:lncRNA from 1 species
AAAUCAGAACAAAAUUUCGCAUUUUGGUACUUACCCGACUUAUUGUAUAAAAUCGUUAUGAUGGUUAUGUUUUACCUUUGGGGAUCAUAAUGAGUGCAUUAAGAACCAAAUGGGAAAGCAAAAAUGAAGUGUGUUUGCUUAAGGAUCUCUAGAUAUAAGAUAAACAGUCUAUUUCAAAUGAGAAUCAGCAGAUAUCAUUGCACCAAAACAGCAACUCUUCAGCUGUUGAGUUCAAAUGUCUUGUCUCACACCUGUUUCAACUUUCUAAUAUCUGCAACAAAUCAGAAAUAAAUAAGAUAAAACUAUAGCAUGAAGUACCCAAGAGAACAAAUUUCAGGUGUUCCAUCAACAAACAUUCUGCAUUUGCAUGCUGUUGCAAAUCGUGUUUCCCUUAUAAUAGACGAGCUUCUUUUACUCGUUCGUAUUGGAUUCCUGAAAUCCUUUGAAAACAUUAAGCAAUGGGAUUCACAACAUCUGCCAACAAAAGAGAGGGAACUCCUGUUAAAGCUAACGAUCUCCAACUGCUUCAAUGCUUCUCAAUUCUGAAAAUUAAGCUCCAAUUAUGGGCUAUCCUGUUACUAAUGGCCUUGUCUCAAUCAGGUGAUGCUUAUAUACAUUUUACAGCAUUUUAAUGAAUUUGCCUAUUCAUUUGUUUUGCCUUCUAUUAAUUCAUUCUAAAUUCUCUUGCACAAUUGCAUUCGAAAGAGGCAUUUGAUCCACUGGAUCCAUUUGGAAAUAUUACAAUCAAGUGGGAUGUAGUAUCAUGGACAGCAGAUGGAUAUGUGGUAAGUGAGCUCCUGAGCCUAAUAUGGCCUUUCUUCCAAGAAACUAAAUGAUAGAACUAUAGAACAAGCUUUUCAGCCCCCAGACUUGCAAUAAUAUGAUCAUUUAAUAAAUCAAUGCAUUCAGGCCUCGGUAAUUAUGAACAACUAUCAAAUGUAUCGGCACAUCAAUACUCCUGGUUGGACCUUGGGUUGGAACUGGGCAAAGAAAGAAGUGAUUUGGUCCAUCGUUGGGGCACAGGCAACUGAGCAAGGUGAUUGUUCAAAGUUCAAAGGAAACGUACCUCAUUGUUGCAAGAAAAAUCCCAUAAUUGUGGACUUGCUUCCUGGAGUCCCUUACAACCAGCAGUAUGCCAAUUGCUGCAAGGGCGGUGUGGUGGCAUCCUGGGGCCAGGAUCC